UUAUUGUGUUUAACAAUUUGGGCGAUGUGACCAUUCACUGUAUAUUACUGAUAAUGUUGUAUUGCAAAUAUUGUGCUUUAUGGAAUACUUGCAUAAGUGAGUAUUUGUAGUUUUUAAAACCAUUUCUAGCUUGCUUUUUGUAUUAAAGUAUAUAGAACUAUGAUUUCAUUAUAGUAGAUUAAGACAUUUUUCUCCUACCCGUCCCUACUUUUUUAUGCUUUCUCUUCACUACCCGUUUUUACAAUGAAAUCUGAAUGAAGUAUAACAAUGUUAUAUAAUGGUUAUGGAAGAUCAAGGUGGAAUUACACAGUAGUGAUGCUAACAUCAUAAACAGUGGUUAUAGGAACUAAACUGUAAAAAACACAAUAAAAGUUUGCAUUUUCUAUGAACAUGUAUCAACCAGAUAACAAUGAUUACAGUUGCCAAUUUUCGAAAUGAAACAAAGAUCAUGGGGACAAGCUUUUACAAAUUCAGUUGUUUUUUCUACUCAAGUCACAAAUCGUUUACAGUCUAUUGGGUGGUGGUAUCUCUCAGUUGUAUUGUAGUUUGUGUCACAGAAAUCACCUAAAAA
rnacentral:lncRNA from 1 species